UACGGAGGAUCCGAGCGUUAUCCGGAUUUAUUGGGUUUAAAGGGUGCGUAGGCGGCCUUGUAAGUCAGGGGUGAAAGACGGUAGCUCAACUAUCGCAGUGCCCUUGAUACUGCAGGGCUUGAAUACACUAGAGGUAGGCGGAAUGUGACAAGUAGCGGUGAAAUGCAUAGAUAUGUCACAGAACACCGAUUGCGAAGGCAGCUUACUAUGGUGCAAUUGACGCUGAGGCACGAAAGCGUGGGGAUCAAACAGG
rnacentral:rRNA from 1 species